UGUUUCCUCUGUAUUUUACAUCUUAUUUGAAUACAAGUUCUCCAGGUAGGCGUAGAUGACUUCCUGAAUUUCUGCAGUAUCCACGGUCAGUUCAUCCUUUGCAUUCCUAGUUGGGUAGAUUGGAGUAUUUUCUUUCCUUUUUCGGAAAAAGAAAACACAAACAACAGAAGAAAGAGAAAAACCCCAGGAAAAUAAGAAAUAAUAUGUCCACAUGAGGUGCAGCUCUUCCCUGCUAGCAGCUCUCAAAGCGCAGUCUGAGGACCCUCCGGGACCGCCUGCCAUCUUUGUGUCUACGUGAGUUUGUGCUUCCCUCGUGGACUUCAACCAGAGUGGCUGCGGGAGCAGCUAUGAGAACCCACUCGAUUUUAAGAAGCCAGGCAUUCUGGACAUUUGCAGAAUCGGAAGACUGUGCCUCUCGUUUUGCCAAGUGGGCUCUGCUUUGGAAACUGUAGCUGUUGUGAAAGUUUCACAAAUUAUUCAACCGAGUCCUCAGUUUUACUUUCUACUGCAGUAAAUAUUAGUAACCCAUGUAAGCAACACUCUUUACUGCCUGGAGAGAAAUUUCCUGCUCCUGAAAGUCUUGGGAAGCAGCAGUGGAGGGCAGAUAACAUAGUUAUUUCACACUGCUGGCUCCCCACCCUUUAGAAGCAAAUGAACCCGGGUAAAUUAUUUAUUUGCUGUCCUCCAUUUUUCUUUUCUGUGGGGUAAAUAAAAUAACGCACACAACCCAUUUAGCACACAGUGCAGUCCCAGUAAAUAUGGGUGUUAUCUGAAUCCCACAGAGACUCAGGUAACACUCACCACCCUGCCACUUUUGAUGAUGUGGAAUUGCCAGCCUGAACUUUGCAUCAGGGUGAGGAUUUACCCCAAGGAAAUUGGCAAAACUCAGCAUCCAUUGGUCUCUGUAUUGAUGUUACCUUCCAGAGGGUCAGUUAAUGACCAGCACCCUGACAUAGAACACUCACAGGCAGUGAAAAUUCCAAGAAAAUGUUCACAUCUCUUCAGACAGAGACCUUCUGGGUGUUAUAACCUGCUUUAAGCAUUGCUAUCCUGUUCUGUAAGCAUUGUUACUCUGACCUGUGUUUCAGCUCUAGUUUCUUGUGAAUUAUCCCCUUCCAGAACAGCAAUUUGGUCCUUGAACCAACUGGCCCUUGGCUGUAAAACAUUUGCUGGCCACUGAUUGUAAAAUAUUCUGUCCCAGGACCAACUGGCCCUGGUUGUAAAACAUUUUUGCAGAGAUUAACUCCCUUUUUGUAUAAGCUCCUUCCCCUUUUCCUCUGCUUUACUGUCUUUACCUUUAAAAAACGCCCUGUAACCUAACCUGGUUACACAGUUCUGUAGAUUCCAAUGCAGGCUGUGUCACUGGUACCAGCUAAAAUA